ensembl:lncRNA
GUGGAGUCGAAACCCGUCAGCGUCGCUGCGAGACAGCCUGCGGCCGACAGAGGGCGCUGGGCCUCUACGUCUCCAUGCGUCAGCAGGGCGCCCAGUGAGCUACGCUAGACAGUUUCCCAGCUCUCGAUGUAUUAAUUUACUUUACAUGGAGAAGCCUUUCACCUGGUACCCUGUGAUGGCCAGAAAGGGUUUGCACUGGAAGAACUGGAACCCUCAGGUUAUAGAGGGAGAGGACUCGGAAACUAUCAGUGAUGCCCAGUAUAGUGACAGACAUGUGAAUAACCGUGAGCAUCGGCUAUGUCGUCUUCCUCUACUUUCCAGUUGGGAGCCUUGGAAACCAUUUUUAGCAAUUUAGUAUGUUUGCAGUACAGGCAAACACCAGAAAGUGUAAUUUGAGGAUUUUACUCAGAGAUUGUUCUGUUGUUCCC